UACAGAGGUCUCAAGCGUUAUUCGGAUUCACUGGGCGUAAAGGGUGCGCAGGCGGCCGAGUGUGUGAGGCGUGAAAGCCCGGGGCUUAACCCCGGAAUUGCACCUCAAACUACACGGCUAGAGCAUUGGAGAGGGUAGCAGAAUUCAUGGUGUAGCAGUGAAAUGCGUAGAUACCAUGAGGAAUACCAGAGGCGAAGGCGGCUACCUGGACAAUUGCUGACGCUCAGGCACGAAAGCGUGGGGAGCAAAAGGG
rnacentral:rRNA from 1 species